CUAAUUAAGGAUCCAUGGCGGGACUCAAACCCAGAGCAGAAGCAAAGCCUCCAUUCACAUCCUGCUCUACCACCUGAGCUAAACACCAUUAUGAGUUCACACUGGAUGAAUAAACACAAUGAGUCCCGCCCACAGACUUUCUGACGAAUGCAGGUGGAGCGCGCCGAAAAGGGGCGGUCUCGCUCGUUUCCCGCGUGAAAUUAGUGGAUUUCCCUCCAAAACUGUAGAUGUGUAUUUAAAUAGCUGUUGGAUCGUCACUCUGGUUCCAGCGGCUCUACUCUGAGGACACGAAUACGGUGAACAGUGGGACUUGUCUUCAGCUUCAGGUGGAACAGCUCUGACCUGUAUGGUGAUCAGACCCGGAGAGGAGACACACCUGGUCCAACCAGGUGAUGGACAGUUGAAAGGACGAAUCACCAAGAUGAGCCAAUCAAUGGAGACGAGCCGCCACAGGAGCCUGAACCUGUACUUCACGAGGGGGAUCAAACAUGGCUGAUAUAUCUGCAGUUCACUGC